UCGGCUGUAGCUUUGCGGUAGUGCGCCUGACUGUUAAUCAGGUUGUCGCAAGUUCGAUCCCAACCAGCCGAGCCA
rnacentral:tRNA from 1 species